UACGGGAGGCAGCAGUGGGGAAUAUUGCACAAUGGGCGCAAGCCUGAUGCAGCCAUGCCGCGUGUAUGAAGAAGGCCUUCGGGUUGUAAAGUACUUUCAGUCGUGAGGAAGGUGUUAAGGUUAAUAACCUUAGCAAUUGACGUUAGCGACAGAAGAAGCACCGGCUAACUCCGUGCCAGCAGCCGCGGUAAUACGGAGGGUGCGAGCGUUAAUCGGAAUUACUGGGCGUAAAGGGCACGCAGGCGGUUUAAUUAGUUGGAUGUGAAAUCCCCGGGCUUAACCUGGGAAUGGCAUUCAAGACUGGUUAGCUAGAGUCUUGUAGAGGGGGUAGAAUUCCAUGUGUAGCGGUGAAAUGCGUAGAGAUGUGGAGGAAUACCGGUGCGAAGGCGGCCCCUGGACAAGACUGACGCUCAUGUGCGAAAGCGUGGGGAGCAAACAGGGAUUAGAUACC
rnacentral:rRNA from 1 species